GUUUGAACAAUGCGAGUAAUUUUUUGAUUUUUUUUUUUUUUUUCCUCCUCUCAUACGCACACGGAAUGUACAGAGAGUCAUUUUUAGAUUAAUGACGACAGCUUGUUUUUGGGAUAAUGCUUUCAAAUGGACUCGUUACAUUCUAUGAAUAGUUUUCGAACAGAAGAAACACCUAAUGAAAAAAAAAAAAAUGCGCGCUCGGAUAUUAAAAAAUAUCGAAUAAUAAACUUCGAAUUCGCAUUAUGGAAACCGUUCCCGCAGAUCUACUACCCACAUGAUGUCAACCACAGAUGCGUAAUAUAUGGAAUAUACAGGUGCUACCAGCUGCUCCGAUGAAUACUGUCAUCCGUGAGUCAGCGGGGAUGUUCGUUAUUAUGUUAUUACACGCAGAAUUCCAAGAAUUGUGCCACGUAGCAAGGAAAAAAAAAAUAAAAAAAAUACUGCCGAACAAUUUUUGCUCGUCGCACCGCGUAGUAACGAGUAAAAAUUCUCUCUUUUUUACGGCCACGGACGCGUGGAGAGAAGAGUAAUUUUAUAUUUUUCUAACUUAAAAACGCAAUAAUGACAGGUCAUCUCCCGGAGGACCUAGGAUAGAUAAAUAUCGACAAAGGAACACAAUCCGAAAAGUGCAAGUUUUCAAAGUGUCUAGAGCCGUAAUGGUUAGGAGGGAUAUCGAUCUAGUCCCGCUCUCUCUCUGUCUGUCUGUUCGAUCAAUGUUAUUGACCGUACGUAGUAACUGUUGAUGUUGUCUGUAGCAAACACACCCUUACGUUAGUUGAUUGCCUAAAUGGUAUCGGUACACGACUCCGUCCCAAAAGGGUUGGUUACUAAAUAACAGUCAGAAACUUUUGCCUGAUUGUGUCCGGAAAUAAGAAAGACAACUUUUGUUUCGAAAUCGAAUUAACGAAAUUGCUCUUUUGUCGUGUUUUUUUUUUUUCUUUAUUAUUAUUAUUAUUAUUGUUUCGGCCGUGUUAUAUAU
rnacentral:lncRNA from 1 species